UUAAGUCUUGACGAGUAAGAGGGUCGCGACGGUGAGCGCAGAAGGGUCAGGGCGAGAGCCUGCCUGGAGCCGCCGUUGGUGCAGAUCUUGGUGGUAGUAGCAAAUACUCUAGCGAGGGCCUGGAGGACUGACGUGGAGAAGGGUUUCUUGUGAACAGCCGUUGCACAAGAGUCAGUCGACCCUGAGCCCUAGGAGAAAUCCGAUGACGAUGGGUGGCUUGACAACACAACAAUCCACAGACUGUUUUAAGUGAAUUACUCUGUUGUCUGUACUGACUACAAGUUGACACUGAACAGCUCCUAUUGGGCAAAAGGGAAUCCGGUUCCUAUUCCGGAACCCGGCUGCGUAACCGCUACUUUGCGGGCACUUGUUCGCGAGCGCUCGUCGGGGUAACCCAAACUGGCCUGGAGACGCCGGCGGGGGGUCUGGAAAGAGUUUUCUUUUCUUUAUAAGCGUUCGAGUACCCUGGAAUCCUAUAGCAGGGAGAUAGGGUUUGGAACGCGAAGAGCACCGCAGUUGCGGCGGUGUCCGGACCUUCCCCCCGGACCUUGAAAAUCCAGGUGAGGGCCACGCGGAAGUCGCGCCGG
rnacentral:rRNA from 1 species